rnacentral:rRNA from 1 species
GACGAACGCUGGCGGCGUGCUUAACACAUGCAAGUCGAACGGAAAGGCCCUGCUUGCAGGGUGCUCGAGUGGCGAACGGGUGAGUAACACGUGGGUGAUCUGCCCCUUACUUUGGGAUAAGCCUGGGAAACUGGGUCUAAUACUGGAUAGGACCAUGCUGUAGGUGGUGUGGUGGAAAGAUUAGUUUCGGUAAGGGAUGAGCUCGCGGCCUAUCAGCUUGUUGGUGGGGUAAUGGCCGACCAAGGCGUCGACGGGUAGCCGGCCUGAGAGGGUGGACGGCCACAUUGGGACUGAGAUACGGCCCAGACUCCUACGGGAGGCAGCAGUGGGGAAUAUUGCACAAUGGGCGCAAGCCUGAUGCAGCGACGCCGCGUGGGGUAUGACGGCCUUCGGGUUGUAAACUCCUUUCAGCCAUGACGAAGCCCUUGUGGUGACGGUAGUGGUAGAAGAAGCACCGGCUAACUACGUG